GUUUAUAUUAAAGCACAAGCAUUUAUCCAACAUGUGGUGCUGCUGCCUCUAUCAUUUCUUUCCUUUUGGAUUUCACUGAGGAUUCCAUAGCCAUUUAGAUUCUAUCUCAUCACUGAAACUGACUUUUUCUUUGUGGUAUACCAAAUCCAGUACACUAAAUACACUGCACAGCCUGUGGAUGGCUGACCCUGUGGACAAUGAGUAGGAAGGCCACACUCAUGCUGGGAAGUCCUUUCUCUUGGGCUGGCCCAUGGAGAACUUUGUGAUGACCUUCAGGCAAGAUUUCACAUGGAUUAGGACAGAAGAGCUCGAGUGUGACUAUAAGAAGAAAAAAUCUACAGAGGAUAUAGUGCUGAAAAACAUUGGAAUUCCAGCUAUCCACAAUGAGAAGAAGUUGUUGAACAUCCAGUCCACAGCCUGGAAAGGAUAUACUUUAGGAGGAGGAUGCCACUGGGCCACAACCAAAUAAAGCCUUAAGCCAUUCCUCAAACAGGAUCAAGCUGAUCCUCCAUUAAAUUAUUUGUUCAUUAGUGCAAAGUGCAAUGUUCUGUAUGGGAAGACAAGAAAAUUCACAUUCCUAACAGAGUACCAUCCACAAACUCCCUAGAGACUACAAAAACUAUUAGACGUGUGAAGACACAUGGAAGUAUGACAUGUAUUGUGAGAAAUAACAAAAGAAAAAAUUCAGAGAUGGCACAGAUGUGGGAGUUAGCAAAUGACAUUUUUGAAGAGCUAUUACAAAUAGAUGAAAUCACAGCAGUGUACAUUUUGAGGUCAUAAGGAAGUCAUCAAGAAGUCAUAGUAAUCCUCUUUCAUUUACCCUUAUUUGUAGAGUUUCAAGCCACAUGAAGAAAAAUCUGACAGACUCAAAAAAAGUAUUGACAUUCUAUAAUUUAUAAUCAGAUAUUUUAAUAUCCCCUCCCAGUAACUGAUAGAAUAAAUACACUCAAAGAUCAAGAAGAAUAUAAAAGCCUUGAAUAGCAUUAUUAAGCAAUUCAGUCUAAUUAACAUUUAUGGAAUACUCCACCCAGUACCUAUAGAAUGCACAUUCUUUUAAAGUACACAUGUAACAUUCAUCAAGGUAGAUAAUAUACUGAAGAAAGAAAGAAGUCUCAAUAAAUGUAAUAGAAAUGACCUAUGCUUCCAGACUAUACUACACUAAAGCUUCAAAUCAGCACAAAACUGUUGGGAAGAUCUCAAAAUACUUGGAAAUUGAGCAAUACAUUUCUAAAUAACCCAACAUUUAAAAAAGAAAAUAUAAGAAUAAUUAUGAAAUAUUUGGAAC
rnacentral:lncRNA from 1 species